UUUUCACGAUUUUUUGGCGCUGAAACGCCAAAAUGUGUGUGUCAUCGCAAAUAUAAGUAUUCAGAUUUUGAUGUUUCUUGAUUUCUUGGACAAUUUUUGGUGUCUUAACAAAUACACCAAUAAUCUCAGUACUAGCUAAUCCCAGAGUCUGGCAUAUAUUCUUCCUGCGAAAGAGCAACGCGCUACUUAAGCAAAGAAGAAAAUUAUAUAUAUAAUUUUGAAAAGAUCGCCUGCAGAUACAAAGGUGAACCGGCUCACUAGUUUUGCGGAUGUUACGAGCAGAAAGGUCCCGAGUUCAAAUCCACACCUUCGGAUUUUUCCGGAUCGGUCUAUUUCAGCCAAAUUUACUGACUGAAAUGCAAAACUGAAUCGGGCCUUCAGUUAGAAAUUCAGUUGGAGAUGUGGAAAGAGGAAAUAUUAUAGAGAAAUAUUGCGACUUUAAGGGGAAUCAAUAAAAAAUUCCUGUUUACCAGAUCAGAGUGUGUGUGUGUGUGUGUGUUUGUGUGAACGUCGAUUACAAUUAAUUCUCAGACGCAUAAAUUCAGAGAAAGUAACAAACUUUUACAUUCUUAUAAAGAUUUUUAUACGAAAGAAUGAGAAAAAUAAGCGUGAUAUGUUCAAUGUCGGAGAUGUUUUCCAACUGGCGAGUUUUUUCUUCUGUUUUGACGCUCGGGAAACCGCUCGACCCCUGCUACGCAACUGUGGGCCUGAGACGCGAAGGAAAAUCCAAAAACGCAGAAGCGCAUAACGAGGGAUGUGUGCGCGUGGUGGAGAACUUUACUGCGCUACACACAGUGCAAGCGCGUAGCCUUAGAUCUAGGUCGAUUUUUCGAGAGCGACGGACGUGUUGUCGCGUUUUGCGCGAUUCGAAAUUUUUCUUUUUUCGUUAUAACAAAUUCGGAAUUUUGUGUGCAAAAGUAAAGUCAAUUUCUUUCUUCUUCAAUUACUGUAAUUUUGUUAUUGUAAAUCUAUCGCGAUUAAAUAUUUCGCGAAUAUAAA